rnacentral:rRNA from 1 species
UACAGGGGGGGCAAGCGCUGUUCGGAAUUACUGGGCGUAAAGGGUUCGUAGGUGGCCACUUAAGUCAGACGUGAAAUCCCUCAGCUUAACUGGGGAACUGCGUCUGAUACUGAGUGGCUUGAGUGCAGGAGAGGAAUGCGGAAUUCCAGGUGUAGCGGUGAAAUGCGUAGAUAUCUGGAGGAACACCGGUGGCGAAGGCGGCAUUCUGGACUGUAACUGACACUGAGGAACGAAAGCCAGGGGAGCAAACGGG